UACCGUAUAAUUUUGCGUUGUUUUUUAACUCUUAUAUGCGAAGAAUUCAUCCGAGUUUGAAGGAGCGCUCUCUCUCUCUCUGUUUUGAAGCUUCAAGAUUAGAAAGGAAACAUGUCUGGAAGAAAUCGUGGGCCGCCAUUUCCAAUGAAAGGCGUUCCACAUGCUGGACUACCCUCAAUUCAUGAAGCUCCCUUUGGCAGAGGUCUCGGCCCAAUGCCCCACCCUGCACUGCUUGAAGAAAUGAGGGAAUCACAAUUCAGAAUGAGCUCUGGACAACUCCCUCCUCACCCUGCUAUAAUUGAGGAGCGACUUGCAGCUCAGCAUCAGGAUAUUCAAGUGCUUUUGGUUGAUAAUCAGCGACUGGCUGCAACUCACGUGGCACUUAAACAGGAAGUAGAAGCUGUCCAGCAUGAGCUUCAACAAACGGCUCACUUUGCCAGUUCGUUACAUGCGGAGAGGGAUAUGCAGACGAGGGAAAUGUAUGAGAAGUCUGUUAAAAUGGAAAUGGAUAUUCGUGGCGCAGAGGCUAUGAAGGCUGAACUUCAGCAAGUUCAUGCUGAUGUUAAGGAGUUAACUGCCUCUAGGCAAGAGCUUACAGCUCAGGUCCAAGCAAUGACUCAGGAUUUGACCAGAGCUACUGCUGAUUUGCAACAGGUUCCAGCCCUAAAGGCAGAAAUUGACGGUCUGAAACAGGAGCUGCAGCGAGCAAGGGCUGCCAUUGAGUAUGAGAAGAAGGGAUAUGCAGAGAACUAUGAGCAUGGUCAAAUGAUGGAGAAGAACUUGGUCUCAAUGGCACGGGAGUUGGAAAAACUUCGUGCAGAGAUGGCUAAUGCAGAAAAAAGAGCACGUGCUGCUGCAGCUGUUGGGAAUCCGGGUUAUGAUGGAAAUUAUGGCAAUCCUGAAGCUGGAUAUGCAGGAAAUCCUUAUCCUUCCAGUUAUGGCAUGAAUCCAAUGAAUCCUGUACAGGCUGGUGCAGAAAACUUUCCUCAAUAUGGACCUGGACCUGGACCUGGCUCUUGGGGUGCUUAUUCCAUGCAGCAAGCUCAAGGACACAGAUAGACUAGUUGUAAGCAAACCAAGUGCUUUCAAGAACCAACUACUUUUGCCACUGUGCUCCAGUAUUUGAAUUGCACAAGCAGGCAGCCAUACAAAAUUGAUGCAUGAACUGGAACGUGUAAAGCUUUAUUCUAGCCUGGUCUUCCAGAAUUAAUUACCCGGAAUGCAAUCUCUCUCUUUCUUCUUCUUCCUGAAAUUGAAUUGGUAACUGGUUUGUGUGCGCGGAAUGGAUAGCAUGAUGUCUCAUCAAUUUGAUCUGAAGUUCUAUUAUGGAUUACCAUGUUUUUUUUUCUUGUAUGUGCGUGUGCUGGUGUGAAGCUGAUGGUGAGGACUACAAGGUCCAUACCUCUAUUGUUGAAAUGAGGACAAAUUGACUAAUGUAUCCUGGAGUUCACCUUAUGCAGGAAAUGUGGCAAAUUGCUUCCAUAAAUAGAUUUCUCUGAGGGAAUAUAAAGAGGGUAAAAUCUACAAGUUACAUCCAGGGUUCUAAAACUUGAAUUUAGCUUUUAGAAUGUUUGGAAGAGAUUUUUGAUUCGGGUUGUAUUUGGUUUAGUGUGCAGUUGAGCUGAAGGUUGUGGUCGCCAUCAAGGAGUUAACUAUUAUUUAUUUAUUUAUUAUUAUUUUAACUUUAUAUAAUUGAAUUAUUAUUUUUA